CCAUUCAAUGUUCUGUGAUCAUUCCUUUAUCUGUUUCAUUUUAUAAGACUUACUUUUGAGUCUUGUCUUUGCACAAAAAGAAAUCAAAUGAUAUCCAGUCCAUGUUCUACUAUCAGUGGCAGCUGUAAGCAAUUGAGAAAUACCAAUCCACACGCCGAUUUGGUGGCUGUUUGGUAACAAGAAGAGGUUAACACUUGCGGUCUAACCCUAAAAUAAACCGUUCAUUUGCAAAAACCGCUAUGUAGUUUCAACUUCAAACGCCACUCUCUCUCUCUCAACCCAGACUUUUUAGGGGAAGGGACUGAAACAAGAUACAUCAAUCAAUACAAGUAUUGAUUUGACAGCAAUCGACGCGGGAAUGAUCUAAUUGGGAAAUUUCGACACAUGAAGUUAAAAUCCCUGUAAAAUAUACAUAGAUAUGGAGAAAGGUGUUAGUGCUUGGUGAUAAUACUGUACAACGUAUGUAGAUACAGAGAAACGUGUUUGUGCUGUUGAUCUUGAAUUAUCGCAAUUGCUGUGAUAGUGGAUCUGUAUAUUCUCCAUAUUUCCUAGUUUAGGAAACGAUUUUUCGUUUGAAGAUUCGGGAUUGACGGAUGUUGUAAAUGAGUUGCACAUGGGGCCUCCACCAGUAACCAGUUUGGGAGAUUCUUUAACUAGUACAGACCAAAAGCAGAAAAUGGUAAGAAAGAAGAAACAAGGUAACGUUGUUGAGCAUGAAGGUCCUGAUUUUUCAAUCGAUAAUUCUGCAUCAGAGGCGGGUGUGACUAUAAAGCACCCAUUACGUGAGUCCGCAGCUUUGCCUAGUUUGUUAAGUUGCCAAACAAUUGUAGUGUGUGAUUCAACAAAGAAAAAUGGAGAGAGCAAACGGAAGAAAACAGAGCAUAAUGCUGUUGAAAGCAAUGUUAAUGAUUGCAGUGCACCAGAAAAUACUUUUUCAUCAAGAUCUUCCACAUCUGGUUUGGAUAUGCCUUCAGAACAUCCAAUUCAAUGUGUUUUAAUUGAUUCAGUAGCAAGACAAUCUUGUGUGGACGAGGGUAUUUGUCAAGGACAUCAUGAAGAAAACGAGCAGAAUAUGAUCAAUAAGACUGCAGGAAACAGCUGUGGACAGUGUGACGUUCAAAAAGGAAGCUGCAACCAUGAUUCAGUUGUAACAAAUCCUGAGCAUUUUGCAAAGGAGAGUGUGUUAGAAGUUGUGAAAUUGAACAUAGAGCAAGGUAUAAAUGAUAACAGUUCCAACCCUGAGGAUAAGAAUGGUAUUGUAAAAAAUACAAGUCUGGUGAGGAAAAAUUAUCACUACCCAGCAGUUUAUGACAUAUCUGAUAAAAAACAGUGUGUUAAGACCUAUUCAAGGAGAAAACCAGUUAAUUCCAAUUGUAGGAGAAGCAGUGGCCACCCAAGUCUUGAAAAUUGUAACAAUGAACCAACUAUGCAGGACCAUCACGGGGAUGAUUCAUAUAAAUUUUCUGAUGGACCAUUGACAGUUGGCUUGAUGGAUAGAGAAACAAAACUUUCGAAUGAUGAAGUUACCUAUCAAAGUGGAGCUGCAACUGAGGAAAUGAAUUUGAGAACAGACAACACUUGUGAGCAAAGAUUUAUGACUACAUCUUCUGUAGUAGACAUCCCUGCCCCUGGGGAGCAACUUGAAACAAGUGGUGGACAGCUAGAUCAUACUGAAAUUACAAGAAAUGAUCUGUGUUGUGCAGGUGAUGUUUCUGAUUUAAGCUCAGUCAAAGUAAAAGAUGGUCAUUCAAAGAUUUCACAAUUCUUACUGGACAGAACUGUUGCCAGCAACACAAAGAAUAAACUUCUCAUACUUGAUGUGAAUGGACUUCUUGCUGAUUUUGUCAGUGAUACUGGUAGAAGAUAUGGACCAGAACCAGAGCCAGAUUUUUGGCUUAAAAGGAGAAAAGUUUACAAGAGGCCCUUUUGUGAUGAUUUUCUACAGUUUUGCUUUGACAAAUUUCAUGUGGGGAUUUGGUCAUCUAGAGCCAAGAGGAAUGUUGAUGAAGCAAUUGAAUUUCUAAUUGGGAAAUCUGCAUCAAAACUGCUCUUUUGUUGGGAUUUUCCACACCAUCAAUUGAAUGCUUUUUUAUUAUCAUUACCAAACAGAACCAGCCUUGUAAUUCUAGUUGUCAUUAGUUUCAAUUGUGUGUGUGUGUGUAGAGAGAGAGAGAGAGACAGACAGACACAGACACAGACAGAGAUUUCAGUUUGGACAAAAUGGAAAUGGUUUGAUGUUAUAAACUAUAAUUGCAUUUUAGUAAAUUAGUUUGUUAUUCAUAGCAUCAUUAAAGAUGCAGUUAUAACUUGUAAACGGUUAGCGGUAGAAGUUCAUUCCUACUUGGAAUUUCUCUAGACACUAUUAAUCUUUAGAUAAUCUUUUAUGUAGAAUCAGUCCCACUGUACUAUUACUGAAUUCACCACUGUUGAGAAUAGAAACAAGCCGCUGGUUUUGAAGGAACUUGUAAAGUUGUGGGAAAAAUCGGAACCUGGUUUACCAUGGGAGAAGGGAGAGUUUAAUGAGUCAAACACAUUAUUAUUGGAUGACUCUCCAUACAAAGCACUAGUGAAUCCUAGGCAUACAGCAAUAUUUCCUUAUUCUUACCGGUACUACGACACCACAGACUCGUCAUUAGGACCAGAAGGUGAUCUUCGGGUUUAUCUAGAAGGGCUGGCUAUGGCUGAUAAUGUUCAAGAGUACGUGUCAGCAAAUCCAUUUGGUCAAAGGCCCAUAAGAGAAACAAAUCCAUCUUGGGGUUACUACCGUAAAGUCAUUGAAGCUGUUAAAACAGCCAAAAUGCUAGCUAGGCACUCAUCACCAGGUAGGGAGCCAACUGCUAACAGAACAAUGCACAAUGAAAAAUGUUAAGACAAUUCUCAUUCGUGUUGAUACAAGCAGUGCGUAGUUCUUACCUCUGUUGAGUUUUGGUUGGUCAGGUGUCUAAAAUAUAUCAGUUAGGUAUAUAGCUGCUGUUAAGCCGCAUAUAGUUCUACUGUGAUUAAAACCUACUUCAGGGUAGUGCACACACUGUAUUGUGUGUUAAACUCAUUUCUGCCUUGGUCAUGAGCUGUUUUGUUCAAUAGAUAGAAAUUUUGAAAGUUACUAUCAUAAUAUCACAUAAAUUUAGGCUUAAAUGUGAUUUUGAUUACUCUAAAUAUGAUAAGUUUCUCG